rnacentral:tRNA from 1 species
GGGGCUGUAGCUCAGCUGGGAGAGCGCCUGCUUUGCAAGCAGGAGGUCGCCGGUUCGAUCCCGACCAGCUCCA